CACGCGUACCCAUACCGAACACGAACGUUAAGCCUUCCAGCGUCGAUGGUACUUGGACCGAAGGGUCCUGGGAGAGUAGAACGUCGCCAAGC
rnacentral:rRNA from 1 species